CCUACGGGAGGCAGCAGUCGAGAAUCAUUCACAAUGGGGGAAACCCUGAUGGUGCGACGCCGCGUGGGGGAAUGAAGGUCUUCGGAUUGUAAACACCUGUCAUGUGGGAGCAAAUUAAAAAGAUAGUACCACAAGAGGAAGAGACGGCUAACUCUGUGCCAGCAGCCGCGGUAAUACAGAGGUCUCAAGCGUUGUUCGGAAUCACUGGGCGUAAAGCGUGCGGAGGCUGUUUCGUAAGUCGUGUGUGAAAGGCGCGGGCUCAACCCGCGGACGGCACAUGAUACUGCGGGAAUAGAGUAAGGGAGGGGGAACCGGAAUUCUCGGUGUAGCAGUGAAAUGCGUAGAUAUCGAGAGGAACACUCGUGGCGAAGGCGGGUUCCUGGACAUUAACUGACGCUGAGGCACGAAGGCCAGGGGAGCGAAAGGGAUUAGAUACCCCAGUAGUC
rnacentral:rRNA from 1 species